rnacentral:misc_RNA from 1 species
CUCCCGCCGAUCCGAUCUUUGCUGAGGAGGACAUGUCGACGGAAGAGGACAAGAACAAAGACCACGGCGAUGCAAUCCACGGCGACCGUGAAGGCGACGCGGGCGCUCCUCGGUACUAUGGCAGUCGCAGUACCGCCGUCGAGAACCCCUGCGUCGUGGGGGCGCCGCCAUCUGCAGUAGCCACCGGGUGGGGAGGAGCAGAUCCCGAUGGUGUAAGAGAAGGCGAAACAGAAGCCACCGGGUGGGGAGCAGAGCCAGGCGACAUAGUAGCCACCGGAUGGGGAGAAGCAGAGUCUGCCAGAGAAGGCGAAAUAGGAGCCACCGGGUGGGGAACAGAGCCCGACGGUGCCAGAGACGACGGCAGCACCGCCGACUGGCAGUGGCAGGAAGAUGGUGAAUACAAUGGCGAAUACUACGACAACAAUACGGGCUACGGCGACGGCAGCAGCAACUGGCAGGAACACGAACAUGGUGAAUACAACGACGACGAACAUUACGACAAUACGGGGUACGGCGACGGAAGCACCACCGACUGGGAGGAACAUGGUGCAUACAAUGACGAAGACUACGACAACACGGGCUACGGCGAGGACGAAGAAGUUGAAGCCUACUACCCGCCUCCGUACGAGCUGAGGUACGUUGGGUACUUCCACGGCGCCAAGGUGCACGCGGCGAGGGAGGACCGGUUCCUGCUGGUCAACUUGCAGACAUGCAGCGGCGCCGGUGAACUCCCGUCGCAGAUGCAGAACCGGGACCUUUGGGCGGACGAGACGGUCAGGGGGGUGAUCCAGGACAGCUUUGUGUUCUCCCUUGAAAAGGGGGGCAUGAGCAGGGGCAGCUACUC